UAUCUCUGUAGAGUCUGCAUAUCAAUAAGCGGAGGAAAAGAAACUAACAAGGAUUCCCUUAGUAACGGCGAGUGAAGCGGGAAGAGCUCAAAUUUGAAAUCUUCAAGGUUCUACCUUGACGAAUUGUAGUUUAAAGAAGUGUUUUCUGUUAGAUGAGUAGCAAAAGUUCCUUGGAAUAGGGACAUCAUAGAGGGUGAGAAUCCCGUAUUUGGUACCAUUAUUUCCAGCUUUGUGAUACACUUUCAAAGAGUCGGAUUGUUUGGGAAUGCAGUCCAAAAUGGGUGGUAAAUUUCAUCUAAAGCUAAAUAUUGGCGAGAGACCGAUAGCGAACAAGUACCGUGAGGGAAAGAUGAAAAGAACUUUGAAAAGAGAGUUAAACAGUACGUGAAAUUGUCAAAAGGGAAGCGUUUGACACCAGUGUUGUUUUUCCGAAAAAUCAAUUACGAAUGGCUUGAUUUUGUGUUGUAUUGACCUUAUCAGCUUUCUGCACUUUUUUCGAGUCUUUCUUAAUGCACUUUUCGGUUAACAAGUCAACAUCAAUUUCUUUUGUUGUAAAAGAGUAUUCGGAAGGUGGCUUUCUUUUCGGAGAAAGUGUUUAUAGCCCUAUACUUCUACAAUCGGAGAGAUUGAGGUCUGCAGCGUAGAUCCUUCGGGGUUAGAUACACUUGUGCUAAGUUGUAGCUUUUCAUAGACAACUUGUUGACUAUGUUUAGUCAUGCGGCCUACUCGCUUGUGCUAUUUUACCUACGCUUAGGAUGUUGACGAGACUGUCGAUCUC
rnacentral:rRNA from 1 species